rnacentral:lncRNA from 1 species
GGUUCCCUUUUUAUAGAGGGGUACUGGAUUAUCUGUGAUAUGACGGGGCGGAGUUACUGUAUGAUUGAGCAUGUCGUAUGAAUUAAUGCACGAUCGUGUGAAUUAAUGCAUUGCCUAGGAGAUCAGGCCAGGGCCAAGAAGUUGUCAUGGCUGACCAGACGCAGCCGAGCAGAUUUGCCAUAGAGAGCUUGAGAUCUGUAGAUAGCAGGAGCCAUGCGUUUUAAUUGUUGAGUAAGCCGGAGGUCUGCAAAGACCAUGCGCAUUAAUUGUUGAGUAAGCCGGAGAUCUGCAGAGACUAUGCACAUUAAUUGUUGAGUAAGCCGGAGGUCUGCAGAGACCAUGCGCAUUAAUUGUUAGCGGCGGUGGCAGGGGAUGGUCUCUGGUCGAGCUGCAGAAGGAUGUGACCACGGCGGGUGGAUGGUGAGGUCGGGCUUCCGAGGUCGAGAGCUUCCAGGUCGGGUGCCCGGUCGGGCAUUUUGAGGUCGAGCGUCUGAGGUCGGGCGCCUGGUCGGGCGUCCGAGGUAGGGCGCUUCCGAGGUCGAGUGCUUCUGAUCACAUGCUGGCGAUGUGCUCACGUGCUUUGGGGGGACUUGUAUUUCUCCAACAAUAAGGUUACAAUAAAUCUCAAGUUUAAUAAAUUGUUAUUCACCAUGAAACAUCCUGAUUGCUCAUCCAUAGUACCAAAAGAAUGCUAAUGAAAACAAAAUGAGAAUAAGAGGAGACACACAUAUUUUUUCACUCAAAUAAUAUAUACAAAAGUCCCUUUCUUUGCACUAGUCCUGAUAUUUUCUCCAAUUAUCAGAUAUUUUCUCUUUUUAAUUUAUCUCUUCUUUUUCUUAAAAAAAUAUCUUCUUGCUCAUGGAUAGGAUAAGGUGAUGAUGAUCAUGCUGCUGAGACAGUGACAUUAGGAUAGGAGAAGAAACUAUUCACUAACACAAAAAGGGGCAUGACUGUAAUGCAGUUCUCCAUCUAAGCCACCUAUAUUGAAAAAGCAUUUUCCUACAAAUAAACCAAAAGCAAUCCCAUAUAACAUUAAUGCUAGCAUGUUUCAAUUCUUGUUUCAAGAUACUUGUAAAAUCCAUCUUUAAGUAUCCCCCAGACAACAAAUCUUGUGCCUCCUGCACUCUGAGUAUCCAUUUUUCAGAAGUUAGACUUUUGCAAGCUCAUCCAUGAAAUUGCCUAUUUCUUCCAUCUAGGUCUUUUUGGUUCUUUUCUUCUUUUCUACCCUUUCUACCUAAAGAUGAGAUCAUGUUGUCACCUCAGCUGUACUGGCUCACAUUCCACAUAGUCAAAUAAUCCCAAAUAAUCAAUGAAAUUAUCCUGUCUCAGUGUUGCUUAUAGGCUUCAUAUAGUUCACCGAAUAAGAUUUUGAAAUGUGUAGCAUUUGGGGCGAGCUCAAUGCUUUAAAGCACAAUUUGCUCAGAAAUCUACAACUCAUCAAUAGUAAGAUGCUAGAAAAUUGCAUGAUUGAUAAAAUGAUGGUUUCUUCGAUAACAUAAUUAAGCUGGUUGUAAUUAGUCAAAACUUUUCCAAUAACAUUAAUGCAAAGAUAGCCCCUUCACACAUUAGUAAAAAUAUUAUACUUGAUCAAAAGGAAGGAAAGAAAUUUAGCGAAGCAGACCAGAAGAAUCACUUGCAAGGAUGUGCAAGAAC